UGGCUCAGGAUGAACGCUAGCGACAGGCUUAACACAUGCAAGUCGAGGGGCAGCGGGGGCGUAGCAAUAUGCCUGCCGGCGACCGGCGCACGGGUGAGUAACACGUAUGUAACCUGCCCUAUGCAGGGGGAUAACCCGGAGAAAUCCGGCCUAAUACCGCGUAACACCUUUGGGGAGCAUUCCCUUGGGGUUAAAGGAGAGAUCCGGCAUAGGAUGGACAUGCGUCGCAUUAGGUAGACGGCGGGGUAACGGCCCACCGUGCCGACGAUGCGUAGGGGUUCUGAGAGGAAGGCCCCCCACACUGGUACUGAGACACGGACCAGACUCCUACGGGAGGCAGCAGUGAGGAAUAUUGGUCAAUGGCCGAGAGGCUGAACCAGCCAAGUCGCGUGAGGGAAGAAUGUCCUAAGGAUUGUAAACCUCUUUUGUCGGGGAGCAAAAAGGCUCUGCGGAGUCGUAUUGAGAGUACCCGAAGAAAAAGCAUCGGCUAACUCCGUGCCAGCAGCCGCGGUAAUACGGAGGAUGCGAGCGUUAUCCGGAUUUAUUGGGUUUAAAGGGUGCGCAGGCGGCGUGUCAAGCAAGCGGUAAAAUAGCGGGGCUCAACCCCGUCGAGCCGUUUGAGCUGGCGCGCUUGAGUUCAGGCGAGGUAGGCGGAAUUCGUGGUGUAGCGGUGAAAUGCAUAGAUAUCACGAAGAACUCCGAUUGCGAAGGCAGCUUACCAGUCUGCGACUGACGCUCAGGCACGAAAGUGUGGGUAUCGAACAGGAUUAGAUACCCUGGUAGUCCACACAGUAAACGAUGAGCGCUAGGUGUCCGGGUCGAAUGAGGCUUGGGUGCCCGAGCGAAAGCGUUAAGCGCUCCACCUGGGGAGUACGCCGGCAACGGUGAAACUCAAAGGAAUUGACGGGGGCCCGCACAAGCGGAGGAACAUGUGGUUUAAUCCGAUGAUACGCGAGGAACCUUACCCGGGCUCAAACGACUCAGGAAUAUAUUGGAAACGAUGUAGCCAGCAAUGGUCUGAGUCGAGGUGCUGCAUGGUUGUCGUCAGCUCGUGCCGUGAGGUGUCGGCUUAAGUGCCAUAACGAGCGCAACCCCUACCGCCAGUUGCCAACGGGUAAAGCCGGGAACUCUGGCGGGACUGCCGGCGCAAGCUGCGAGGAAGGCGGGGAUGACGUCAAAUCAGCACGGCCCUUACGUCCGGGGCGACACACGUGUUACAAUGGCAGGUACAGCGGGAAGCCACCUGGUGACAGGGAGCGGAACCCGAAAGCCUGUCUCAGUUCGGAUUGGAGUCUGCAACUCGACUCCAUGAAGCUGGAUUCGCUAGUAAUCGCGCAUCAGCCAUGGCGCGGUGAAUACGUUCCCGGGCCUUGUACACACUGCCCGUCAAGCCAUGGGAGCCGGGGGUGCCUGAAGUACGUGACCGCGAGGAGCGUCCUAGGGCAAAACUGGUGACUGGGGCUAA
rnacentral:rRNA from 1 species